UUUAAAAGCAUUCCUUGUUUCUCCGUCUCUCUCAUAACACACUACAUAUCUCUCUCUCUUCUUCAUAACAACCAACCGGUACCAGAACAUCAUUUCCGGCCACAAUCAACAUCAUUUCCAGCUACCUGGAACCUAUCUAAAUCCACUGACUAAAAAACGCACACGUAAGUCAAAAAAUCCAGCCUGAACCCUAGCCGUAUUCAGAUUUCAGAUCCAGUCUUGUGGAUUCAGAUCCGCCGUUAUCCUGGUCUUUUAAUUCAGACCCGGUCUUGUGGAUUUCGGAUAUAGUGGAGGUUUCUGGUGGUGGUGGUGUUUUCCGGGUACGGUGGAGGCUUCUGGUGGUGGGGGUUGUGGAUUUAACCGGAGAUUUGGUGGUGGUGCGUAGUGGUAGCAGCGGCAAUUGUAAGAGGAAGGGUUUUCAAAUUUUGAGAGGGUUUAAAAGUUCCAGAUUGUAGAAUAGUUAGUUGUGGUGGUUUGAUGUAGGUUGUUUGCUGGUGUUGAUGAUUGGUGUUAUUUGUAUGGGUUGCAGAUCUGCGAAGCAACUAGGUUGAGGAUCUGCGAAGGGUUAGGGGCGAUGGGUGUGACGUGGUGAUGGCCCGACUGGUGAACAGUGGCCGGAGUGGUGGUGGUGACGAGAUUUGAUGAUGACGGGCAACUGGGUUGCAGAUCCGUGAAUGAUGAGUGGUGGUGGUGGUGACAAGAUUUGCGAUGUGUUUGUGAAGACGGUGGCAAGAUGAGGUGGUGGCAGCAGGAUGAGCUGGUGGUGGUAGGAUGUGGUGGUUAAGGUUUAGGGUUUGUAAAUUGGGGAAGAUGAUGUGUAUGUACAAGGUUUUAUUUAUUAAACAUUUAAAUAAAAGCAUGAAUAGACCACAAUAC
rnacentral:lncRNA from 1 species